rnacentral:rRNA from 1 species
GACGUGACUUCAGAGUUUGAUCCUGGCUCAGGACGAACGCUGGCGGCGUGCUUAACACAUGCAAGUCGAACGGUGAACUUGGAGCUUGCUCCAAGGGAUCAGUGGCGAACGGGUGAGUAACACGUGAGUAACCUGCCCCAGACUCUGGAAUAAGCGCUGGAAACGGCGUCUAAUACCGGAUACGAGACAGAGAGGCAUCUCUACUGUCUGGAAAGUUUCUCGGUCUGGGAUGGACUCGCGGCCUAUCAGCUUGUUGGUGAGGUAAUGGCUCACCAAGGCGACGACGGGUAGCCGGCCUGAGAGGGCGACCGGCCACACUGGGACUGAGACACGGCCCAG